rnacentral:lncRNA from 1 species
UCGUCUCUCCAAAUUUAUCUUAGAAACUACCUUAUUUUUAAUAACCCUCCAAAUUGUCACGUGAGUCGAAAGAACUCCUUUUGCUUUCGUCGUCAAUCAACUCCACCUCACCCCUCAUCAACCUGCACUGUCCCUGCCACCGCACACCCGCCGCGCACCUCCGUACCGCCGCCGUACCCCACCUCCCGCAACAGCGCCAGCGCUGUUCGCCGCCACACGCGACUCCAACGCUGCCCCCGCUACCGCACCACCGCCAACCUCCGUCCCCGCUCUGCCGCCUUUGACGUCUUCAAGAACGUGUCUUUGUCGGAACCCCCAACGUUUUCCUCCGCUGCGUCGCGGCCAUUCUCGGCAUCGCAGAGAGUUCCGCUCCAACAGGCACGCUGUCUUGCUCACCUUCUGAUUCUCCGCCGUGACCUCCACAGGCACCGCCGCCUCCCAUCCUGUUCGCCGCUCCUCCAGACCAAACCCUAACUGUAUAGCCACGUCAGCAAUUAGGUAAAAAAUUAGGAUUUUUCCACCCAACUUUUUGUACCCAAUUGGGCCUGAACCGGCCCACUACUACACAUUAAGUCAUUUGCCCAUAUUUCAGCAGGAACCAUCCACGUUUUUCAAUUUAAUAUUUCUCUCUUUCCUUAGUUCCAAAGUUAGUUUUGAGUGCUUCCAGCAGAAUUAAUUCCUCCACUAAAGUAUGUGCCACCUUUUCAAAACUCUCCCCUCAUCGGAAACUGAAGAGGCUUCUCCUUUCAUCCAAUGGUUCUUUCAUUAACAAAAUUCAAACUCUGAAAUUUACUUAAUAAGUUGAGUUUAUUAUUACUCAAACCAACAACACUUAACUAUAAUGAGGGGUUGAAUUCAAAGAGGUGAAGUAACAAAAAUAUAAAUCCAAGCUAACGGAUUAAAUUGAAAAUUAAAUUACUUUAACAUAUAUAAAUUACAUUUUUAACUGUAGAUUGAAAUAUUUAUUAAUUUAAUGGAUGAUUUUAAUUUCAUUUGAAAAUUUUACUCACUUUCCAAAUCCAAAAUCAUGUACUUAAAAAGAAAUAUUUAUUAAUUUGACGGUUACUUUGAUUUGAAAACAUUACUUCUUGAAAAGAUAUCCUAAAUGAAAAGAAUGCAAUGCAAUCUAGGUUAGUUAUGUAUGGACCAAAGAAGAUAAGAAAAUCUCAUAAUUCUUUCUCAUCUUUUGCAAUGAAGAGAUAAGGAGAAGAUAGAAUCACCAUUUGGCAAAUGUAAUCUAGGUUAGUUAUGUAUGGACCAAAGAAGAUAAGAAAAUCUUAUAUUUCUUUCUCAUCUUUUGCAAUGAAGAGAUAAGAAGAAGAUAAAAUCACCAUUUGUCAAAAGGUAGGCAUGCAUGGCUACCGUGCUCACAUUUGCUUACAAAAAAACUAGGAAUUUGAGCUUGAAAUAACUGAGCCUAGAGAAGACUUAUAGGUCUUCACAAUUAAUAGAGUGGAUCCAAAAUGAGUUUCAGUCAUGUAACCAUCCAUCUAUUUAAUUCAAUCUUUGGAUUUUUGUGACCUUCUUAUAUGGUCCAACUUAUCCUGCCAUUGUUGGAUGGUUUCAUUUUAGCUCAAACUUCAAUUUACACACUGCUCUCAAUUAAGUGCAAGAAACAAGUUUCAUUUCUAUGCAUUUAUAACUAUUUGUUGUUCCUAUGCAAUUUCUAUCCUUCUAUUUCGUAAAGCUAACAUCAAGUUAAAACAAAAACAAAAAUAUGUGUGUGUUGACGUGCAGGUUGCAAUAAUGCUCAUAAAAAUGAAAAAGUAUUUUGAAAAUAGCAACAUAUAAAAUUUACAUUAUAGUGAACCAUGAAAUAUAAAAAAUGUAUUAAUUGCACACAUUUUCAAUUAUGUUGAAUUUAUUAUCAUAGGUUUAGGUUUAAAAUUAUUAGAACAGUGUAGUUAGGUAGGUGGUAAGAGUAGGUUUUAAACAAGUGAAAUUAGUAGUGAGAAUAUUAUUGGUUACAAAGCCUCCUCCUACUCCACCUCCAAACCCUCCUCCUCUACUUACACCUACUCCAAUUCCACCUCCAGUUUUGCAUGUAUGAAUUUGUUAGAGAAACAUUUUUACAAUGAUGACCACUAUCUUUUACUUGCCUCUACGAAAGGUAGCAAUUUUGAACAAAAUUGGGACCCUUUUGAGAUAAGAAAAGUUGGUAGUGAUAAUGACAAAUUAAAAUAAUUAAAUAAUAAUGGUCCCCUCAAAUUGGUCUUUAUAGGAGAAAGGGACCUCACAAAUUUAUUAGAGGUAAGAGGUGAGUGACAACAUUAUAGUUUUUUUAUAGUUUUUAAAUGACAAGUGUGUUAUCAAUUUUAUUAUUUGAUAGUAAAUGUGAAUUAAUUUCAUCUUGUGAAGAAAUCAAUUCAAACAUUAAGAAAUUUAUCGUCUAGUUUUUGAAACAAUGUUGAUUUUGUAUGAAGGUAACAUAAAGUCUCAUGCUCCUUCCGGUGUCUUAUCUAUACUCUUUUGAAAUCAUGAUGAAAUUUAAAGGAAAUAAAUUUUUAGUUUUUAUAGUGACUUUUUUUAGUUUUAAUUCUUCUGUUUUAUUUAUUAAUCCCUAUUAUUAUAAUUAUAAAAAAAUAAUCCUAGUAAAAUUUAUAUGUAGAUAAACUCUUUUUAGUUCUUAGAUUAUAUAAAUGAUUAUUAUUAAUAAUAAGUUGUUUCAAAAAUGUAAAUUAUUUUGCAGAUUUUAUAAAAUAAAGAAAGGAAAGAAAAUAAAUAUGAUUAUUUUUAAAUAAAGAAAGAGAAAAAAAUAAGUAUGGUUAAAUGUGGGUUAUUUUGUUCUAGGUUCUGAAUUGUUGGAGGAUUAGAAGAUUUAAAUCCUUUUAAUUAUAUUUUACAUUAUAUAUUUUUUAAAUGGGUUAAAAUACUCUUAAUAAUUCUAUUAAUUUUAUUUUUUGUUAUCUAUAAAUUUUUUUUUACAUAUAUUUAUAUAUGUCAAUUAAUGUUUUAAUAAUAAUAAUAUUAACUAUUUUUUAUUAUUAAGCUUUUAUUUGUUUUUAAUUUUAAAUAAUUUACAUAUAUAUUUCUUACGCAGGUGGAAAAUAAAGAAGUAAAAAAGAAAAUUAUAUAUAUUAUAAUAAAGUUUUUUAUUAUAUUUCUUUGUUACUGGCUAAACGAAAAAGAUAAUAAAAAACUGAGAGUACUUAUUGUGUUCUCUUAUCUCUAAGAUUAAUAAAUAGAAUUAAACUUAAUUAUAGUGAAUAUUAAUUAACAGUGUUUAAUUGAUGGGAAUCUUAAAGAAUCGAAAAUUGUAAUUUAUUGUGAGUAAGGUGCAUGAAACAGAAAGAAAAGAAGUCAACCAAUAUGACCAUAAAUACUGUGAUUCAACUAAUGCAGUGGUUUGUGGCAAUAAAAGAGAACUCUGCAAGGUCUCUGAAGAUGGACAGGAAUAUGCAGUCUAAAUAACAAUAGGUGUUUUAUGAGUAACAAUAGAUGUUUUUACUCUAAAAAUAUGACUAUCGUUAAAUAAUUAGUUGUUAUAGUGACUAAAUUUGAGACCAUUUUCAGACUAUAUAAAUUUUUUAUUUCUAAAUUAGUUUCUAUUACUGUGAAAUAGUUUCUUAAUUGGUAUUUAAUUAGCUACCAAUGUUUUAAUUACCAAUUAUUUAGAUUCUAAAUUUAGUAGCAAAAACCUUAGUUGAUAAUUAGAUACCAAUUUAGAAACCAUUUAACAAUAAUAGAAACUAAUUUAGAAACUAAAAAUUUAUUUAGUCCCUAAAAUGGUCUCUAAUUUAGUCACUAUAGCAACUAAUUAAUUUUUUUUCUCUAAAAUUGGUUUCUAUUUCAUGAUUUUCUUGUAGUGUAAAAUACACAAACUUCAUUUGUCACAUCAUAAACUUGUUAAUAUUGUUCUGAGGAUGUUUUACAUUAUAUCAAAAUUAUAAUGAUGCAAUAUAACUAUACAUUCAAUGAGGGACGAAAUACAGUUCUUCAUUACGUGAAACAAAAAUUAUAUUUAACUUUUAUAUUUAUGAGAUUUUUUUAAUAAACUCAUAAGAAAAAAAAUCUAUAAAAUAUUAAUAAAUUUUAUUUUUAAAAUCAAUCUUUAAUUUUAUAGUUGGGUAAACAAACUUUAAUUAAGAGUCUAACUUAUUAUGCAUAAGAGCUUUAGGAGUUGACUAUUAAAAAUUAUUCAUUCACUCCAUCAAGAAAAGAAAACGUUAUUUUAUUAAUGGUUUGGAAUUAAUACAUGUAUUAAUGUCACAUUUAAGGCAUGUACUUACAACUAUAUUUGAAAUAAUUAUGCUAUAGCAAAAAGGUACCAGCAAUAAUAUAAUAUAUUGUAGUUAAAAAAAAUAAGUUACUAAAUUAGAAACUUCAAAGUUAUAACCCGUUAUAACCAAACAAAUAUUAUAUUACAAUCAAUACAAUAUAUUUCAAUAAUGUAAUUAUUGAAAUUUUGGAAAGUUAUAUGUAUAAACAUUUGUUUUUUUAAAGUAACGCAGUGAUUGGGUUGAAAAAUUAGCUUUUAAGAGUAUUCAGAACUCUAAAGUUAUAGUAGUAGACUUGUUGCAAUUGAAUUUUAAACUAUUAAAAGAUAUUGUAUUGAAAAUUAAAUAAAACUAAAGGUUUGAUUAUUGUUUGUUGUUGGUAAAGUGUUUCUGGAAAGGAUGAAGUUAUUUUUCGAUUUGUAUAAUGGUUGAGAAAUUAAACUAAACCAAAUUUAAUUAGUUGUGUCUAUAUCAAUAAUGUUCAAUUAAGAUAUAUAGGCAAUUUUGUUUUGUAAAUUGUAAUAUGUAACAAAAGAAUAUAAACAAAGUAAUUUUUUUAAAAAACUAAUUAAAUCAAUUUAAUGAAAUAUAUAAAAAUUAAUUUUCUUCUAAAUUUAUUAUCUUUUUAACUAAUCAUAUUAUUGAUAUAAAGUAUUAUUAACUUUUUAUCAAUGACUUUUUCGUUAUAAUUUUUCAUCCAACGCUUCUUUCUUUCAUUAACAAAAUUCAAACUCAGAAAUUUACUUAAUAAGUUGAGUUUAGUAUUACUCAAACCAACAACACAAUUAUAAUGAGGGGUUGAAUUGAAAGCGGUUAAGUAACAGAAAUCCAAAAGCGAACCUAAUUAGUUUAUCUUAUAUAAAUUACAUUUUUAAAUGUAGAUUAAAAAUGUAUUAAUUUAAUGGAUGAUUUAAUUUCAUUUGUAAACUUUACUGACUUUUCAAAUCCAAAAUCUUAUUGAAAUAUAUAUUGAUUGUUUAUGGAUUAAAGAAGAUAAAAAGAGAGACUUCCACUUCUACCUUCCACCCUUCAAAAUAGGAACUUCCAAGAUAUUCCAAGAUACUCUCGUGUCCUUCCUUUUUAACAAUAACUUUUAAGACAAUGGUGAGGAUACAAAUGCCAAUACAAAAAAUAAUAAUUGAAGGAACGAACCCUAUGUUUCAUCCAUAACCAUGAUCUAAGUUAUGUCUGAUGGAGAAUUUCUUCAGCAUCUGGUAUUCCUUGUUUAAAGAUAACCAAGUUUCGUUGCUCCCAAAUUCCUCUUACUACAGCCACCCAUAUGCCUUUCCAUACAGAUUCUGCUUAAUACUCAAAUAUGCUAAGUGGAAAUUCUCAAAGUGACACUUCAAAUCCUUAUGUUGGACAAAAAUGAUACCUAUCCACCUAAAGCAUAGAACCCACACUCGUUGCGCAAUGGCACAUUCUAGGAAGAAGUGUUGAGAGGUCUCUUCCAAAGUUUGUCAAAGCGCACAAAUAGAUUAACUAACUACCACUCAUCUUCUGAUAAGGUUGGUUCUUGUUGGCAUUCUAUCCAACAGUAUUCUCCAAGCAGUAGUUAAAACAUUAGGCAAUGCUUUACUCUGCCAUAACUGUUUAAAGAGUCCAUCAGUCGGGCCAUUGACUUGAUUAGUGAGACACACACGUAAGCUGACUUAACUGAGAAUUCCCUAUAGUAUUCCCUCCCCAAAGUUGGAGGUAUGAUUCCUCCCUAUUCAAAACUUCCUCAGAGAUGAACCUUGACAUUUAUUCUUCUUGUACAAAUUCCCAAUCAAACCUGACCCUCAUCCACCUCAACCUCUAAUACCAAACUACGUCUUCCCACACACCUACCUCGCCCAUCAUCAUUCCCUAGUCCAAUGAUAUGGGAUACAACCUAAGGUACAAAUUAUCAAGUUUAUUAUCCAACAGUAUUCUCCAAGCAGUAGUUAAAACAAUAGACAAUGUUUUACUCUACCAUAACUGUUUUAAAGAGUCCAUCAGUCGGGCCAUUGACUUGAUUAGCGAGACACACACGUAGGCUGACUUAACUGAGAAUUCCCUAUCCCCUUCCCAAAGUUGGAGGUAUGAUUCCUCCCUAUUCAAAACUUCUUCAGAGAUGAACCUUGACAUUUAUUCUUCUUGUACAGAUUCCCAGUCAAACCUGACCCUCAUCCACCUCAACCUCCAAUACCAAACUACUUCUUCCCACACACCUACGUCGCCCAUCAUCAUUCCCUAGUCCAAUGAUAUGGGGUACAACCUAAGGUACAAAUUAGCAAGUUUAUUAUCACCAACCAAAACAUCUUCCCAGAAUGUUGCUCUGUUCUCAGAUCCAACUUUCCAAACUAAUGUUUUUUGGAACCAUCCUUGGUCUUCUCCGUCGCCACAUACUUUACUUAAGUAUCUCUACCACCAAGAUUGAAAUUUCACAUUGGUCUGGCUUCGCCUUGAUUCCAAGCUGUAUUUUGAUGCAAAAAUAUCUUCUCACUUUCCUUGUUCUUUUCUCACCAGCCGCCAUUUCCAUUUUGCAAACAAAACACUGUUAAACAUUCUGGUAUCUCUAAUCCCCAACCCUCCUUCCUCUAAGGUUUACAUACAUUCUCCCAACUGACCCAGACUAUUGAUGUAUGAUAUCUUUCCCAUGCCCAAAGAAACCUCCUAUAGAUACUGAUUAUUCUAUUACACACUGAUGCCGAAGCUUUAUAAAAGGAUAAAUCAAGUAGGGGUAAGACACAAAAUACCAACUUAAUAAAGCAAAUUCUUCUCGCCAAAGAUAAGAAUCUCCCCUUCCAAGUACUCAACCUAACACUUAUCUCAUUCAAAAUUAGCUCCCAGAACUGCUUUUUCCAUGGUUUACCUCCUACUUCUAACCCCAAGUAAAUGAAAGGUAUCCUUAUGAGAGUACAAUUUAAAGAUUUUGCAUUUCAUUUAAGGGAAUUCCUCUCAACAUUUGAUUUGUGGAAGUUAAUUUUCAAACCAGCGACCAACUCAAAACACCUUAAUAUAGCUUUAAUUGCAAUGAUAUUGGAGAAGGAGUCUUCACACAUGACUAGAAUAUCAUCCGCAAAUUGUAACAUGCAAGAUUCAAUCUCACUCCUUCCCACCUUCACACCUUUAAGUAGAUUCUCCUUAAAGCGCUUGUCUAACUAGCCCGCCAAAGCCUCUAGCUACAACAAGAAAGAGGAAUGAAGCUGAUGGAUCUCUCUGCCUCAACCCUCUAGAUGGAUAAAAUUCUGUCGUGGGGCUUCCAUUCACCAGAACUGAUACCGUUGCAGACUCCAAGCAGUCUCUGACCCAUUUGAUCCAUUUAUAGUGAAAGCCCAGCCUGUGUAGCAUAUCAUAUAAGAAAUUCCACCUUAUCGAAUCAUACGCCUUUUCAUAGUCCACCUUCAGACACAAUCCUUCCUUCGGAACCUCCUUAUCUCCUCAACCACCUCAUUGGCCACUAAGACGCUAUCUAACGUUCCUUUGUCCUUCAACUGGAUGUCAUCAAUAACCAUAGGUAGUACAUUCUUAAUCCGACAGUAUAACACCUUGGUAACAAUUUUAUAUAAAGCGCCCACUAGAGAUAUAGGUCUAUACUGAUCGAGAUUUAUGGGAUCUCUUACUUUAGGUACUAAGGUUAUAAAAGAGGCAUUACAACCCUCCGAAAAGCAACCUGUUUCCUGAAAACAAAGCACAACUUCCAUGAUGUUGUGCUUAAGAGUAUCCCAGUUAUACUUGAUGAAGUUAAAACUAAACCCAUUUUUGAACCUUCACACCGCCAAACCGCUUCCUUUACUUCUUUCCUUGUGACAUCAUAGAUCAUACUUAAGCUAAACUAACCUACAAAGGUAGAGUUAGUGAAUUGUUUUUCAAUCAAACUCAAAAGUGCGAUUAAACAUAUAAAAAUGCACUAACAUGUUGUUUUGGUUGAAACUUUGCUCAUUAAAUAAUUUAUAUAUAUAUAUAAACUAAACAGUUUCAUUUUUUUUAAUAAAUUGUUCAAACUUUAUUGUAAAAAUUGAGGUUAGAUUUCACAAGUGUUCACACCAACCUAAAGUAUUAUUAGAAAUUAAAAUUCAACAAAAAUGCUUGUAUUUGAUUCUCUUUUAUUCAUUAGAUCAAACUUGAUUGGUUUAAUUAAAAAAAUCAAACACACUAAACUAAUCCAAAUUUAUAUAAUUAUGACUUUACUUAAUUUAUUUUACAAGCUUGUAAACAUUCCUUUCUACUAAACAUUAUAGGUUAAUAUAUUAUUUAGUUGUUUCUAUAUUAACAAUGUUCGAGUAAGAUAUAUAGGCAAUUCUGUAUUCUAAAUUGUAACGUAAUAAAAUAAUAAAAACAGUUAAAGUUAAAAAAAUAAAAAAAACUAAUUAAAUCAAUUUAAUUAUAUAAAAAUUAUUUUUCUUCUAAAUUUAUUAUUUUUUUAUUUAAACAUAUUAUUGAUAUAAAGUAUUAAAAUUUAUCAAUGACUAAUUUUUGUUAUCAAAUUUUACUGACUAUCUUUCGUAUGGUCUUUCAUCCCAAUGAUUCUUUGUUUCAUUAAUAAAAUUCAAACUCGAAAUUUACUUUGAGUAUAGUAUUACUCAAACCAACAACACUUAACUAUAAUUAACUUAACUAUAAUUAGGGGUUGGAUUGAAAACGGUGAAGUAACAAGAAGAUAAAUCCAAGCUAACCUAAUGGAUUAAAUUGAAAAUUAAAUUAAAUUUAUUUAAACUUAAACAAUUACAUUUUUAACUGUAAAUUUAUUAAUUUAAUGGAUGAUUAAUUUGAUUUGAAAACUUUACUUAGACUUUCCAAGUCAAAAAUCUUAUACUUAAAAAGAAUAUUUAUUAAUUUAAUUGAUGGUUAAUUUGAUUUGAAAACUUUACUUCUAUAAAAGAAAUCCUAAAUUAAAAGAAUGCAAUGCAAUCUAGAUCGGUUGUAUAUGGAUCAAAGAAGAUAAAAAUUUCAUAUUUCUUUCUAACCUUUUGUAAUGAAGACAAAAGAAAAAAAUAGAGUCACCAUUUGUCAAAAGAUAGAAAUGCAUGGUUGUCGUGCUCGCAUUUGCUUACAAAAAUACUAGACAUUUGAGCUUGAAAUAACUGAGUCUAGAGAAGACUCAUAAGUCUUCAAAAUUAAUAGAAUGGAACCAAAAUGAGUCUGAGUCAUGUAAGCAUUGAGUAUUUAAUUCAAUCUUUGGAUUUUUGCGAUCUUCUUAUAUGGUCCAGCUUAUUCUGCCAUUGUUGGAUGGUUACAAAGCUUUGCUUCUCAUGCACAACAUCUGGUAUAGAAGAGUAGAAACCACUACAUGCAAUAUAACUUAAUUCAAAUGUUAUAAGCAUAAAUUAUUUUCUUUAAAACAAGACAUGGAAUGUGUAAAACAAUUUCAGUCACUCUUGCAUGCCAAACUUUUAUCAACACUCUUACUUACAUUAUACUUAGUGUCCAUGGCCAAAUCCAACUCCACCGCCACAACCACCACCACUAACUCCAAAGUUAUCACCACUAACUCCAAAGCCAUCACCACAACCAAAUGCGCCACCUCCACCUCCGAAUUCCUCCUCCUCCACCUACACCUCCUCUAAUUCCACCUCCAAUUUUGCAUGUAUGAAUUUGUUGAGAAACAUUUUUGGAGUGAUGACCACUAUGUUUUACUUGCCUCUAUCAAAGGUAGCAAUUCUGAACAAAAUUGGGACCCUUUGAAAUAAGAAAAGUUGGUAGUGAUUGAUGAGCAUAUGUUUAUUCACACUCACUAGCCUUAUUCAUAGAUUAUUGGACUAUAAUAAUAAAUAAAUCCAUUGUUUUAAUUAAUAUUCAUAUAAUUGGGUUUAUUUUGGCCUUAACUAUUAUCUUUGGUAAUUUUGUGUUUUUAGGGUAAAUUAUCUGAAGCAUCUACCUUUGUGAAUGAGCCAAAUAUGCAAAAGUCCAAGUUGCUUCUUUGAAUCAAAACAGAAAACAAAUUUUGAGGAGAAGAAAGAGAAAAUAAAAGCUACAAGAUUCCAGAAACAGAAUUGGAAGCAAAUCUUCUGCAAAAUAAAAAGAAUUAUGGAAAGUGGAAAUUGUUUACAAAAUCUAAACUGCAAUAUUUUCCCAAGAUCCUUGGAGCAGAAAAGCCCUAUAAAAGGACACAAGCAUCAAGGAGAAGAGGGAGAGCUUCAUAGGGUUUUCUUAGUUUCUUUUCUUCUUUAUAAUUCUUUUGUUUUGCCUCCGCAUGGAAGGCUAAACCUUUUUGGUUGAUUCCUUUGUAAUUUCUCAUUGAGUUCUGAGGUUUUGUUCUAUAAAAGUUUCGAUUUUUAAUUCUCUAUAGCAGUUGUUUUUAUUGUCUAAUCUCCUGGAAAACUGGAUUUUGUGAGAGGUUGUACUUGAACGCAUGAUUGAGAGUCUUCCUUAUCUUAAACUUUGGUUUCUUAGUUAGUUCGCAUUGUUCUAAUUAAUUUCUUGGGCACAUGAUUCAAGAGAGAGGAGGUAAGCAUUCCCAUGGAGUAUACGCAUGGAACAAAGUGGGUAUUGAUUAAACCAGUAGACGCAUGUUUUACUGGUGAGUUUCAGUUGAAUUAGAUUGGCGCAUGUUCAAUCUGGUUUAACUCUGUUGAAGGAUUGAGAAAAGAUUAAUCUUUAGAGAACCUGUGAAGAAUUCAAUGGUGGAAGAACUUGGGAUCAACCGCUUUUUAUUUGCUAUUUUAAUCUCUUUUAUAUAUUUUGCACAACUAUCUCAAACCCCUUUUUCAUCUUUAUUGUUAUUGCUAACUUUUAUUGCUUGCAGGUAGAUUUUAAACCCUGAUCAACUGAUUUUACUAUUGGAUUCGUUGGGAGACGACUUGGGGACAUCUGUCCACAAUUAUACUAUCAUCUCUCUAGUGUUAGACAAGUCUACGCUAGAAUCAUAUUAAUUUGACAGCAAAACGACAGCUAUCAGUGAUAAUGACAGAUUUUUUUUUUGGAAAAAUAAAAUAAUGGUCCCCUCAAAUUCGCCUUUUGUAGGAGAAAGAGACCUUAUAAGUAACAACAUUGUAGUUCUUAAAUGACAAGUGUGUUAUGAAUGUUAUUAUUUCAUAGUAAAUGUGAAGAAUUUUAAACACUCAUCCAUCACAAUUUAUGUGUUUUUAAUCUUUAAAUAAUUUACAUACUUAUUAUGUAGGUGGAAAAUAAAGAAGUAAAAAAGAAAAUUCUAUAUUUAUUUUUAUUAUAAUAAAGUUUUUUAUUAUAUUUCUUUGUUACUGGCUAAAUGAAAAAGAUAAUAAAACCUGAUGGAGUAACUUAUUAAGUUCUUUUAUCUCUAAGAUACGACUUUAGGAAUUAUAAAUUGAAUUAAACUUAAUUAUAGUGAAUAUUAAUUAACAGUGUUUAAAUGAUGGGAAUCUUAAAGAAUCGAAAAUUGUAAUUUAACAGUGUUUAAUUGAUGUGUGCAUGCAUCUAUAUAAAAUUAUUUCUCUAUUAUUUCUCUAUUUUCUGUGUAAAAGGAAAUUGGUGUCUUUCUGUUAGAAUUUCUUUUUUAAAUUAUUCUUCGAUUUUCAUUUUUUUCGAUCUUAUCUCAGUGUUGAUGGGUGAAAUUAUUCAGUUUAGUUAAUUGGCUUGAUUAUACAAGGAGAACAAAAUAAUAUAAAAAACAAAGAAAACACAGAGUAAUGUGCAUUCAACUAAAAAUUUGCAUGAUCCAAUAUUAAUUUACAGAAAUACAGUUAAUAUACAUUUCUUUCUUUAUUUCUUUUUCUCUCUAUAUAUAUACAUGACAUGCUAAUUAAAACUUAAAUGAUAAAUAUUUUUUACAAAAUUGUUAAAGAUGGAACUAUUUCAAAAAUAGAAGCAAAUGCUUGAAAUAAUAUAAUUUGAACUUAUUUCAAAUUUAAAAAAUUUAUAUAUUUUUAUUUUAAAAUACUCAUAUCUUAAUCAACAGAAAGAGGCAAAGUAUGUAUUGUAGCAUUGAAGACAUGGCUUGGUGUGUGACUAAUUGAGACCAUUAAACAUAAAGAAUCCAUUUAAAGUGGGUGGUAAUAAAAGGGUAGCAAGCGUAGUUUGCCAAAACAGGAAAAAGUUCAAAACAACAUAAAAGCUCUAUGUUUUCCCCAACUCUUUAUAAUAAUACACGAGGCCUUGAAGGAGAUUCAUGACUUUUUUGUUUCACUGUCUUCCUAUAUAUUAUGUACUUGGUAUCUAUUAUAGGAGAAAAAACACGAUUCCACCAACCUUUCCUCUCCCUUCUUCCUUCUAUUCACAUCCAAGUUCAUACAAAACCCCAUAGAAAUGAGAGGUAGAGAUAUUCUCUAAAGCAACAAAACAAAAAAAGUUACUAGAAAUUCAACAAGACCCUCCUCCUCCGUCUCCUCCUUCUCAACUCUCUUUUGCUUACAAUCAUAAGAAAAAACUGGACACCUCAAAACCAAUACACUCCACCAUGAACAACAAAGCCCCAAGUUUUGAUGAUUCUAAUGUUGAUUGCAAUGUUUCCCCAAAUCAAAAUCUAAGACAACAACAUGGCCAACAACAGCUCAGAAGACAAGCUAGAAGAAGGCUUACUAAUAGGCCUUAUCAAGAAAAUCUAAUGAAUAUGACAGAGGCAAGGAAAGAGAUUGUCACUGCCCUGAAAUACCACAGGGCAACCAUGAAACAGGCCAAUGAGCAUCAACAACUCCAACAACAUCAUCCAGUGCCUUUCCAACCUCCAUUUUAUUCAAGGUUUAGCCCGGAUGGAAGAUUCAAGGCUAGGAGAAGGCCUAAGAUGUUUCUACCACCAUCAAACAAAAUUUCACAUUACUUAAAUGAUCUUUCCUUCUCCUCACCUUUCCCACCCCUUCCUUCUCUUCAUUUUCCUCCACCUCCUCUUCCUCUUCCUCCUCCUCCACUUUCAAAUUUAUACUCCAACACCAUUCCUUCCCCAUUUUCUCAUCCACACCCUCAUCCAGAAACUCCCAAUUUCAUACUUCCAAGUCAGGCAUUGGGAUUCAAUCUUAAUCUACACAAAUUCAACAGUUUAAAACCGCCCCUUUGCUUAAUAAGAACACUUUAGACCCUACCAUUUUGCUUAAUAACAACACUUUGAAUCCUACCCUUUUGCUGGAUAACAACAUGUUAGAUCCUACCCUUGUGUUGGAUAACAACAUGUUGGAUCCUAUCCCUGUGCUUAACAACAUUUCAGAUCCUACCCGUGUGCUGAAUAACAACAACAAUUUAGAACCUGCCAUUUUUCCUUACAACAAUAAAUCAUCACUGUGCUCUUACUCAUCUCCAACAUUAACUUUCCCUCCAUUUGUGACUGGUCAAGACGUUCCUUCGAUUGAAAUAUCACAACCACAUGGAUAAGGAGUUUCCACAGUGAUUAAUACCGUUGAAUCCAGUACUACAACCCAAGCUAGUGGAAGCAUGCAUGUGGACAUGGAUGAAGAGGGCAUGGAAGAGAUCAGAGCAUUGGGCGAGCAACAUCAAAUGGAAUGGGAUGACAAUAUGAGUCUGGUCACUUCAGUUUGGAGGUUCAAUUGCUUACACCAAAUGGAACAUAAUGCACUUGAAUUCAACAAUGAAGUUGAGAAAUGUCAUGGGACCUUUGAUGAUGAACUUGAAUUUUCUCUAUGGGAAAAUUAAUGAUCUGUAAGACAAGCUUACAAUAGUGUGCUCCCUGGAUUUAGUACACUGGAUUUUGUCGGGUAGCUCUGUUAGGGUUUUGUUUUAGUGGGAAAAUUACCCAUUUUUCCCAACACUAGGGGAUAUCCUGGUUUUGCUACUUGUGGAGGUAUUUUCUGUGGGAGUAUGAGGGAAUUUAUUGGAGCUUUCUCUGCGUUUCUUGAAGUUCAGAUUGCUCUAAUUGCUGAGUUUUAUGAGGUUAUACAUGCUAUGGAGGGAACUCAAAAGAUGGGGCUUACUAGUGUCUGGUUGGAAUGUGAUUCUGCUUUGGUUUGUGAUGCGUUUACUGCUAGGACAAAUGUUCCUAGGAUGCUUCGGAAUUGAUGAAACACUUUUCUUAAUUACUGUGGGAAAAUCAGGUUUAUGAUUACUCAUCAUAUUUUUCGUGAAGUGAAUGUGCAUGCUGAUAAGUUGACUAAUUUAGGAUUUAUUCAUAGAAAAUAAUUUCAUUGUUUUUUUUUUCAUAAGCAACAUUGAUAUAAUAAGUUUUCAUCUAAUCUAUAAGAAAAUGAUAAAAAAAUGGUAUGAAUAAGAGAUGUUUCUUAUUCUCUUAUGUGUAUAUUACAUCACUCAUGUAUAGGAAAUAUAUAGGGAGUUUCUAUCUCUCAAAUUACAAUCUAAUUAGGUAAGAUACUAAUCAUGAGAUUCUAUAAUUAUUAAAUUAAUUGCAUAUAAUUGGGUACAAUAUCGUCAAAUAUUGCCUACAAUAAUUGCAUAUAAUUUGAUAAUUAUUAUUUCCUUAAUAUAAUCUAUUAUUAGAAUUCUUUAUGAAUAGGUAUAGUCUACCUAUGUAUCGUUUUUGUUAACAUAUGAGUUUUGGCCUAAUCCCCUCAUAUUUUUGUAUUUUUUUAAUAAUACUUUUUUCACGGGAUGAUAGAUGAUUGUUGUUACUUGAGAUGUCAGUCUAGCUGAGAUGUCAAGUUGCAUAAUGAUGUUUAACAUGAAAGCAUUUUUAUAAAACUAAACAUUUUCAUAUUCUCCUUUUUAAUAAAAUUUUCAAACCUGUAUACUAAAAACUGAGGUUAGAUUUCAUAAUUCUUCGUAGUUGAAUCACACCAACCUAAAAUAUUAUUAGAAGUUAAAAUUCAAAAAAAAAUGCUUGUGAAUAAUUAUCUUUCAUUCUUUAGAUCAAAAUUGAUUGGUUUAAUUUUUUAUUUAAAAAAUCAAACACAGUAAACUAAACCAAAUGUAUAUAAUUAUGACUUUACUUCAUUAUUUUACAAGCUUGUAAAUGUUUCCACUCUUUUCUACUAAACAUUCUAAGUUAAUAUAUUAGUUGUGUCUAUAUUAAUGAUGUUCCAUUAAGAUAUAUAGGCAAUUCUGUUUUGUAAAUUGUAACAUGUAGUAAAGGAAGGCUGAUAAGAAAAUGUAAUAAUAAACAAUGUUAAAGUUAAAAAAAAUAAAAAAACUAAUUAAAUCAAUUUAAUGAAAUAUAUAAAAAUUAGUUUUUUUUAAUUUAUUAUCUUUUAACUAACCAUAUUAUUGAUAUAAAGUAUUAUUAACUUUUAUAAAUGACUAAUUUUUAUUAUAAAUUUUCACUAAUUACUAUAUUUGAUAUUUUUUUUAUUAACAAGAAAUAAUUAAAAUAAAUUGACUCACUUAAGGAUGGUCAAACCAUCAUACGGAGUAAGAAAGGACAAAUAUUUUCACAUACACAUAAAAAAAUCAUAAAGAAAUCUUCAACCGCCUUUCUCAACUCUACCUAUUACAAAAGAAACAAAAAAAAAUCCAGAAACAACUCUUAUAAUGACAUUAAAUAGAAUAUAUACCUACCAAGAGUAUCUUUGAAGCAUCAAAAACCAAACCUUAAUUUGUAUUAGAAAAAAAACUUAUGAUUGAUCACUCCACCUUUACAUAAACAAUUAUUUAUGUGUCUUCAAAUCUCACUAACCUAUAAUACGAUUAAUUGAGUGAAAACAUCCAGAAUUUUGGAACGUUCAAAAUGUGACCCAUCGGCCAGUGAGACAAUGGGGGAUAAGCUUCUUCGUCGAGAGGGAAACAGUCCGGAUCACCAGCUAAGGUCCCUAAAUGACCACUAAGUGAUAAAGGAGGAACGGUGCAGAGACAACUAAGAGGUUUGUCUAGGGUAGCCACCCUUGAAAGAGUGCGUAAUAGCUCACUGAUUGAGGACUCUUGUCAAGGGACGAUAAGAUCAACCGAACUCACUCUUAAGCAAUAGUAACAAAGAUUUCAAAUUAACCAAACAACUUUACAUCCGAAGAAUAAAUGAUUUGUUGACUCUCUAAUAUCCGCAUAAACAACAAAUAUUGCUCUCGGUCGUUAUCUCUCGUCUCUUCAAAUUUAUCUUAUCCGCAUAAGCAACAAAUAUUGCUCUCGGUCGUUAUCUCUCGUCUCUUCAAAUUUAUCUUAGAAACUAUCUUAUUUUUAAUAACCCUCCAAGAUGUACCUUUGCUUUCGUCUUUAAUCAACCGCACCUCACCCCUCACCUUCUUCCUCAUCAACCUGCACUGUCCCUGCCACCGCACACCCGCCGCGCACCUCCGUACCGCCGCCGCACCCCGAUCCCGCGCCUGCGCCGUCCGCCGCGACGCGCAGCCCCAUCUCCCGCAACAGCGCCAGCGCUGUUCGCCGCCACACGCGACUCCAACGCUACCCCCGCUACAGCACCACCGCCAACCUCCGUCCCCGCGCUGCCGCCUUUGACGUCUUCAAGAACCCCCAACGUUUUCCUCCGCUGCGUCGCGAGCCAUUCUCGGCAUCGCAGAGAGUUCCGCUCCAACAGGCACGCUGUCUUGCUCUCCUUCUGAUUCUCCGCCGUGACCUCCACUGGCACCGCCGCCUCCCAUCCUGUUCGCCGCUCCUCCAGACCAAACCCUAACUGUAUAGCCACGUCAGCAAUUAGGUAAAAAGUUAGGAUUUUCCCAUCCAACUUUUUGUACCCAAUUGGGCCUGAACCGGCCCACUACUACACAUUAAGUGAUUUGCCCAUAUUUCAGCAGGAACCAUCCACGUUUUUCAAUUUAAUAUUCCUCUCUUUCCUUAAUUCCAAAGUUAGUUUUGAGUCUUUCCAGCAGAAUUAAUUCCUCCACUAAAGUAUAUGCCACCUUUUCAAUACUCUCCCUUCAUCGGAAACUGAAGAGGCUUCUCCUUUCAUCCAAUGCUUCUUUCAUUAACAAAAUUCAAACUCGAAAUUUACUUAAUAAGUUGAGUUUAUUAUUACUCAAACCAACAACACUUAACUAUAAUGAGCGGUUGAAUUCAAAGAGGUGAACUAACAAAAAUAUAAAUCCAAGCUAACGGAUUAAAUUGAAAAUUAAAUUACUUUAACAUAUAUAAAUUACAUUUUUAACUGUAGAUUGAAAUAUUUAUUAAUUUAAUGGAUGAUUUUAAUUUCAUUUGAAAAUUUUACUCACUUUCCAAAUCCAAAAUCAUGUACAUAAAAAGAAAUAUUUUUUAAUUUGACGGUUACUUUGAUUUGAAACAUUACUUCUUGAAAAGAUAUCCUAAAUGAAAAGAAUGCAAUGCAAUCUAGGUUAGUUAUGUAUGGACCAAAGAAGAUAAGAAAAUCUCAGAUUUCUUUCUCAUCUUUUGCAAUAAAGAGAUAAGAAGAAGAUAGAAUCACCAUUUGGCAAAUAGUUAUGAUUGGAUCAAAGAAGAUAAGAAAAUCUUAGAUUUCUUUCUCAUCUUUUGCAAUGAAGAGAUAGGAAGAAGAUAGAAUCACCAUUUGUCAAAAGGUAGGCAUGCAUGGUUACUCUG